AUUUGAUGAUAGGGGCAACUAGCACACAAUUUCUUAAACCUCUCCCAAUACUUAUGCAAGGUUUCUCCAUUGUAUUGCAUGAUGCCACAAAUUUCCUUUCUUAUAUU